AUUGAACGCUGGCGGCAUGCCUUACACAUGCAAGUCGAACGGCAGCACGGACUUCGGUCUGGUGGCGAGUGGCGAACGGGUGAGUAAUGUAUCGGAACGUGCCCAGUCGUGGGGGAUAACGUAGUGAAAAUUACGCUAAUACCGCAUACGAUCUAUGGUUGAAAGCGGGGGAUCGCAAGACCUCGCGCGAUUGGAGCGGCCGAAAUCAGAUUAGGUAGUUGGUGGGGUAAAGGCCCACCAAGCCAACGAUCUGUAGCUGGUCUGAGAGGACGACCAGCCACACUGGAACUGAGACACGGUCCAGACUCCUACGGGAGGCAGCAGUGGGGAAUUUUGGACAAUGGGCGAAAGCCUGAUCCAGCCAUUCCGCGUGCAGGAUGAAGGCCCUCGGGUUGUAAACUGCUUUUGUACAGAACGAAAAGGUUUCUACUAAUACUAGGAGCUCAUGACGGUACUGUAAGAUUAAGCACCGGCUAACUACGUGCCAGCAGCCGCCGUAA
rnacentral:rRNA from 1 species